CGACUGAUCCGGGCUCCCCCCGGAACAAAAUCCUACGCGGCCUUUUUGCCGCAGGGUGUGUGUGUUGCUCCGCGCAGGGAGCUCAGAGAGGCCUCCCAGGCCCUCAGUGCGAUCGCGAGAACCAACAGAAGGCCGGGGCCCGGCGCCUGGGCUCCGGGGAUGGCGAGUGCAGAGGGCUGUGGGCUUGCAGGCGGCGGGCAGGCGCGGGAGCGCUUGGAGCCUGCUCCAGCUCUCAUCCCGAGGCCGGCGGGCGAGCGAAUUAACAGAAUUCCCGAUCCCCCAACUCUGCGCGGAUGUUUGUGACUCACCCACCCUCGCACACAGAUACACACACUCCGUUCCUGGCUGCUGCGCCGCAACUACAGCUCGGUGCCUGCGGAGGCUGCGGAGGCUGCUCAGGGACCCAAGCACUGGAGCCGCAGGACUCAGUGCUCCGCCUCAGCGCUUGGCCUGGGUGCUCAGCUGCCUGGACGCGACCGUAGCUGCCCGACCCUGCCCCCACCACCCCCAAUUCUCACUUUUCUGAGCACGAGAAGAGCGGUUGCCCCGCCGGCCCCUUUUGUGCCACUGGACGAGGGUUAAAAUCCCUGUUACGGAGAAAGCCGAGUUUCAGUAAUUGCUCAGCUCCCCUCACAAUCACACUAUUUUGUUAAGGCUUUGCUGUUCUAGAGCGACUGUUUAGUUGGCCCGAUUGGUCUAUUAUUAGACUUUUUUAUUUAGAAAUUAAAAAUAAAUUCUACUCCAAAUGCCUGGU